rnacentral:tRNA from 3 species
CAGAUAUUAGUUUAUUAAAAUUUUAAUUUUGGAGAUUAAAGAUAAGAGUUUCUUAUAUCUGA